GACGAACGCUGGCGGCGUGCUUAACACAUGCAAGUCGAACGGAAAGGCCCUGCUUUUGUGGGGUGCUCGAGUGGCGAACGGGUGAGUAACACGUGAGUAACCUGCCCUUGACUUUGGGAUAACUUCAGGAAACUGGGGCUAAUACCGGAUAGGAGCUCCUGCUGCAUGGUGGGUGUUGGAAAGUUUCGGCGGUUGGGGAUGGACACGCGGCUUAUCAGCUUGUUGGUGGGGUAGUGGCUUACCAAGGCUUUGACGGGUAGCCGGCCUGAGAGGGUGACCGGCCACAUUGGGACUGAGAUACGGCCCAGACUCCUACGGGAGGCAGCAGUGGGGAAUAGUGCACGAUGGGCGGAAGCCUGAUGCAGCAACGCCGCGUGCGGGAUGACGGCCGUCGGGUUGUAAACCGCUUUCGCCUGUGACGAAGCGUGAGUGACGGUAAUGGGUAAAGAAGCACCGGCUAACUACGUG
rnacentral:rRNA from 1 species